rnacentral:piRNA from 1 species
CUCGAAUCCGCCUGGUGAUUGGG